UUGAACGCUGGCGGCAGGCCUAACACAUGCAAGUCGAACGGUAACAGGAAGCAGCUUGCUGUUUCGCUGACGAGUGGCGGACGGGUGAGUAAUGUCUGGGAAACUGCCUGAUGGAGGGGGAUAACUACUGGAAACGGUAGCUAAUACCGCAUAACGUCGCAAGACCAAAGAGGGGGACCUUCGGGCCUCUUGCCAUCGGAUGUGCCCAGAUGGGAUUAGCUAGUAGGUGGGGUAACGGCUCACCUAGGCGACGAUCCCUAGCUGGUCUGAGAGGAUGACCAGCCACACUGGAACUGAGACACGGUCCAGACUCCUACGGGAGGCAGCAGUGGGGAAUAUUGCACAAUGGGCGCAAGCCUGAUGCAGCCAUGCCGCGUGUAUGAAGAAGGCCUUCGGGUUGUAAAGUACUUUCAGCGGGGAGGAAGGGAGUAAAGUUAAUACCUUUGCUCAUUGACGUUACCCGCAGAAGAAGCACCGGCUAACUCCGUGCCAGCAGCCGCGGUAAUACGGAGGGUGCAAGCGUUAAUCGGAAUUACUGGGCGUAAAGCGCACGCAGGCGGUUUGUUAAGUCAGAUGUGAAAUCCCCGGGCUCAACCUGGGAACUGCAUCUGAUACUGGCAAGCUUGAGUCUCGUAGAGGGGGGUAGAAUUCCAGGUGUAGCGGUGAAAUGCGUAGAGAUCUGGAGGAAUACCGGUGGCGAAGGCGGCCCCCUGGACGAAGACUGACGCUCAGGUGCGAAAGCGUGGGGAGCAAACAGGAUUAGAUACCCUGGUAGUCCGCACGGUAAACGAUGGAUGCCCGCUGUUGGUCUGAAUAGGUCAGCGGCCAAGCGAAAGCAUUAAGCAUCCCACCUGGGGAGUACGCCGGCAACGGUGAAACUCAAAGGAAUUGACGGGGGCCCGCACAAGCGGUGGAGCAUGUGGUUUAAUUCGAUGCAACGCGAAGAACCUUACCUGGUCUUGACAUCCACGGAAGUUUUCAGAGAUGAGAAUGUGCCUUCGGGAACCGUGAGACAGGUGCUGCAUGGCUGUCGUCAGCUCGUGUUGUGAAAUGUUGGGUUAAGUCCCGCAACGAGCGCAACCCUUAUCCUUUGUUGCCAGCGGUCCGGCCGGGAACUCAAAGGAGACUGCCAGUGAUAAACUGGAGGAAGGUGAGGAUGACGUCAAGUCAUCAUGGCCCUUACGACCAGGGCUACACACGUGCUACAAUGGCGCAUACAAAGAGAAGCGACCUCGCGAGAGCAAGCGGACCUCAUAAAGUGCGUCGUAGUCCGGAUUGGAGUCUGCAACUCGACUCCAUGAAGUCGGAAUCGCUAGUAAUCGUGGAUCAGAAUGCCACGGUGAAUACGUUCCCGGGCCUUGUACACACCGCCCGUCACACCAUGGGAGUGGGUUGCAAAAGAAGUAGGUAGCUUAACCUUCGGGAGGGCGCUUACCACUUUGUGAUUCAUGACUGGGGUG
rnacentral:rRNA from 1 species